AUUGAACGCUGGCGGCAUGCUUUACACAUGCAAGUCGAACGGCAGCGCGGGGGCAACCCUGGCGGCGAGUGGCGAACGGGUGAGUAAUGCAUCGGAAUGUAUCCUGUAAUGGGGGAUAACGUAGCGAAAGUUACGCUAAUACCGCAUACGCUCGAGAGAGGAAAGUGGGGGAUCGCAAGACCUCACGUUAUAGGAGCGGCCGAUGUCCGAUUAGCUAGUUGGUGGGGUAAAGGCCUACCAAGGCGACGAUCGGUAGCUGGUCUGAGAGGAUGAUCAGCCACACUGGGACUGAGACACGGCCCAGACUCCUACGGGAGGCAGCAGUGGGGAAUUUUGGACAAUGGGCGAAAGCCUGAUCCAGCCAUGCCGCGUGCGGGAAGAAGGCCUCGGUUGUAACG
rnacentral:rRNA from 1 species